GUGAUGUUUCCUGAGGAGGAUCUGCCUAGAGACCCAGGAGAAUAUAUUCUGGGAUAUUAUAGUAACACCACCAACAGCAUUGUGGGAGUGACAGAACCAUUUCAGGUGCAGCUGCCCAUGUCCACGCCGCCGGCACCAGCAUGUUGUUCACACUCUGACAGUUCUGACGUCAGCUUUGAAGAUGACAGUACGCUGGUCCUGUUAGCCCCCAGCUCUCGUAGAACCAGCCCUGGAAACCACAGCAGCAAACAGCAUCACCAGAAGCGCCAGCGCAGCCAAAGCCCCGCCGUACCGGCGCUCUCCGGGAUGCCUCUUCUCUCUCUUCAGUCUCUGAGUCUGUGCCCACGUCCCCGCGACGGCCACCCGCACAGCUCCUCCCCGCGCCCUUCAGCCAAUAGCAAGAAAGAGCAUCUGGUUUCUCCAGACACGUUAAACUCACCCUCCCUCAGUCCUCUCAGUCCAUGGAGCCCUGUGUCCCCCGUCAGUGCUCCGGAGGCUCUGAUAGCAGCCCUUUUAGGAGAGCCUAGGCCUCCUCAGAUAGGAAAAGCAGGCGAUGUGAUUCUCUGACCAAUCCCCCCUUCCCUAUCGAUUCAUUUCUAGACUUUAGCAGAGAUCUUAGUGCUACUACUUGAGAGAAACAGCCUGUUUCAGGUCGUCCUCUGGCGUCUAUUGAUGAUAGAUUGUAAAUGGAGACAGUACAACAGUGGACAUCAGCCUUAUAGUGCAGGACAACCUGACCCAAGGUAAAACUGUCCUUUUACCGCAGAAUUAAAUGUCAACAUUCAUCUCAGCCUUUACUUGUUGGUCUGGUAGUACAUGAGUACACAUAUGCCAGGUUUGGCACAUACUAUAAGACCACCAUACCACAUUUUAGAAUAAUUUAUUUAUUAUUAUUUAUGAACACCCAUCAUCCUUUGCUGAAGUUUUGUCAAGAUAACAGCCUUCUGAAAUAGAGAAAACCUUUGACUGGAGCAGCUGACUGAAGACGACCAAUCACAUAAGCUCUGCUCAUUUAUAGCAUUUUGUGCCAUUAUUUGAUAAUGUGUGUGUGUGUGUGUGUGAGUGUGUGUGAAUACAUACUGACUGUGCAGAAAUGUACAAUAAUAAAUAUCAUGACUGUUUGCCCUUUAAAUAUAAC
ensembl:lncRNA